rnacentral:rRNA from 1 species
CUACGGGAGGCAGCAGCUAAGAAUCUUCCGCAAUGGGCGAAAGCCUGACGGAGCGACACUGCGUGAAUGAAGAAGGUCGAAAGAUUGUAAAAUUCUUUUAUAAAUGAGGAAUAAGCUUUGUAGGAAAUGACAAAGUGAUGACGUUAAUUUAUGAAUAAGCCCCGGCUAAUUACGUGCCAGCAGCCGCGGUAAUACGUAAGGGGCGAGCGUUGUUCGGGAUUAUUGGGCGUAAAGGGUGAGUAGGCGGAUAUAUAAGUCUAUGCAUAAAAUACCACAGCUCAACUGUGGACCUAUGUUGGAAACUAUAUGUCUAGAGUCUGAUAGAGGAAGUUAGAAAUUCUGGUGUAAGGGUGGAAUCUGUUGAUAUCAGAAAGAAUACCGGAGGCGAAGGCGAACUUCUGGGUCAAGACUGACGCUGAGUCACGAAAGCGUAGGGAGCAAACAGGAUUAGAUACCCUGGUAGUCUACGCUGUAAACGAUGCACACUUGGUGUUAACUAAAAGUUAGUACCGAAGCUAACGUGUUAAGUGUGCCGCCUGGGGAGUAUGCUCGCAAGAGUGAAACUCAAAUGAAUUGACGG